ACGAACGCUGGCGGCGUGCUUAACACCUGCAAGUCGAACGGAAAGGCCCUGCUUUUGUGGGGUGCUCGAGUGGCGAACGGGUGAGUAACACGUGAGUAACCUGCCCUUGACUUUGGGAUAACUUCAGGAAACUGGGGCUAAUACCGGAUAGGAGCUCCUGCCGCAUGGUGGGGGUUGGAAAGUUUCGGCGGUUGGGGAUGGACUCGCGGCUUAUCAGCUUGUUGGUGGGGUAGUGGCUUACCAAGGCUUUGACGGGUAGCCGGCCUGAGAGGGUGACCGGCCACAUUGGGACUGAGAUACGGCCCAGACUCCUACGGGAGGCAGCAGUGGGGAAUAUUGCACAAUGGGCGGAAGCCUGAUGCAGCAACGCCGCGUGCGGGAUGACGGCCUUCGGGUUGUAAACCGCUUUCGCCUGUGACGAAGCGUGAGUGACGGUAAUGGGGAAAGAAGCACCGGCUAACUACGU
rnacentral:rRNA from 1 species